UUCUAAAUCGUUAAGCGAGAGUUUAAAAUGUUUUAGAGUGGGUGAAGCGAGUACACACAAGAAGAAAAGAAAUGCACCAGAUUGUAAAGGCUGGGGUGGACCUCUUUCUUAAUAUCCAGUGUCCUUUGUCUUAAGAUUUGGUGCAACAUAU